UACGUAGGGUGCGAGCGUUAAUCGGAAUUACUGGGCGUAAAGCGUGCGCAGGCGGCUUUGCAAGACAGAUGUGAAAUCCCCGGGCUCAACCUGGGAACUGCAUUUGUGACUGCAAGGCUAGAGUACGGCAGAGGGGGAUGGAAUUCCGCGUGUAGCAGUGAAAUGCGUAGAUAUGCGGAGGAACACCAAUGGCGAAGGCUAUCCCCUGGGCCUGUACUGACGCUCAUGCACGAAAGCGUGGGGAGCAAACAGG
rnacentral:rRNA from 1 species